rnacentral:rRNA from 1 species
AGAGUUUGAUCAUGGCUCAGAUUGAACGCUGGCGGCAUGCCUAACACAUGCAAGUCGAACGGCAGCACAGAGGAGCUUGCUCCUUGGGUGGCGAGUGGCGGACGGGUGAGUAAUGCAUCGGGAUCUACCCUGACGUGGGGGAUAACCUCGGGAAACCGGGACUAAUACCGCAUACGUCCUACGGGAGAAAGCGGGGGACCUUCGGGCCUCGCGCGGCAGGACGAACCGAUGUGCGAUUAGCUAGUUGGCGGGGUAAUGGCCCACCAAGGCGACGAUCCAUAGCUGGUCUGAGAGGAUGAUCAGCCACACUGGGACUGAGACACGGCCCAGACUCCUACGGGAGGCAGCAGUGGGGAAUAUUGGACAAUGGGCGCAAGCCUGAUCCAGCCAUGCCGCGUGAGUGAUGAAGGCCCUAGGGUUGUAAAGCUCUUUCAACGGUGAAGAUAAUGACGGUAACCGUAGAGGAAGCCCCGGCUAACUUCGUGCCAGCAGCCGCGGUA